UCCGGUUUGUCACCGGCAGUCUCCCUAGAGUGCCCUUGCGUAGCAACUAGGGACAAGGGUUGCGCUCGUUGCGGGACUUAACCCAACACCUCACGGCACGAGCUGACGACAGCCAUGCAGCACCUGUGCUAGCUCCCCGAAGGGUCCCUCACGUUUCUGAUCAGUACCACUAGCAUGUCAAGCCUUGGUAAGGUUCUUCGCGUUGCAUCGAAUUAAACCACACGCUCCGCCGCUUGUGCGGGUCCCCGUCAAUUCCUUUGAGUUUUAACCUUGCGGCCGUACUCCCCAGGCGGUCAACUUCACGCGUUAGCUACGGUACCAAGGAAUCGCUUCCCCAACACCCAGUUGACAUCGUUUAGGGCGUGGACUAC
rnacentral:misc_RNA from 1 species